GAUGAACGCUGGCGGCGUGCCUAAUACAUGCAAGUCGAGCGAACGGACGAGAAGCUUGCUUUUCUGAUGUUAGCGGCGGACGGGUGAGUAACACGUGGAUAACCUACCUAUAAGACUGGGAUAACUUCGGGAAACCGGAGCUAAUACCGGAUAAUAUUUUGAACCGCAUGGUUCAAAAGUGAAAGACGGUCUUGCUGUCACUUAUAGAUGGAUCCGCGCUGCAUUAGCUAUUUGGUAAGGUAACGUCUUAACAAGGCAACGAUGCAUAGCCGACCUGAGAGAUGGAGCUACCACUGUGGACCGGAAUCAGGCUGCAGAUGACUACGGGAAGCAGCAGGAGUCAAUCACCGACAAUGUGCGAGAUCCAGACGCAGCAACCUCGAGUGAGCGAUGAAGAUCUUCGAAUCGUAACACUCUGUUAUUAGGGAAGAACAUAUGUGUAAGUAACUGUGCACAGCUUGACGGUACCUAAUCAGAAAGCCACGGCUAACUACGUG
rnacentral:rRNA from 1 species